rnacentral:rRNA from 1 species
GGAAGUAAAAGUCGUAACAAGGUUUCCGUAGGUGAACCUGCGGAAGGAUCAUUACCACACCAUAAAAAACUUUCCACGUGAACCUGUACUACAAGUUUUGCGCUCCAUUGUUUUUCCUUUUUGGAAAUUCAGUAGAGCAGAACGAAGGUUGGUUUAUGCAUUCUUUCCCUCGGGAAGGAACGAUGAACUGACCGAUGUACUUUUCAAACCCCUUACCUAAUUUACUGAUUAUACUCCAGGAACGAAAGUUUCUGGUUUUAAUAGACAACAACUUUCAGCAGUGGAUGUCUAGGCUCGCACAUCGAUGAAGAACGCUGCGAACUGCGAUACGUAAUGCGAAUUGCAGAAUUCAGUGAGUCAUCGAAAUUUUGAACGCAUAUUGCACUUCCGGGUUAUGCCUGGAAGUAUGCCUGUAUCAGUGUCCGAAAAUCAAAAUUGCCUUUCUUUUUUUGUGUAGUCAAGAGAAGAAAUGAGCAGAAUAUGAAGUGUCUCGAUAUAUAUUCUCAUUGAGGAUAAUAAUCGAGUCCUUUUAAAUGGACACUGUCUCUCUAUUUGUUAUUGUAACAUGUAGUAUAUGGACGCGAGUUGAUCUAUUGAUUACUUGCGCAUGUUGACUGCUUUAUCAAGAACAUUAUAGGGGAAACCACGAUUUGCGGUAUGUUUAGCUUCGGCUCGACACUGUUGCUUAUUGUGUGUGGACUCUGUUUUUGUGUGAGGCUAUUAGCGUGUGUAGGAUGAUUGUGGAUGUAUGCUUGUGGAAGUGUAUUGCUAUCAGUGACGAUCGAUAUGGAUUCUUUUGAAAAAGUAUUGAUUUAUGUAGAGUGUACAGUUUGAUUGGGAAAUUAAUAUGGUGCUUCGGUGCUGUAUCUCAAUUGGACCUGAUAUCAGGCAAGACUACCCGCUGAAUUUAAGCAUAUCA